GACUAGCUCAGUGGUAGAGCACAUGCUUUGCAAACAGAAAGUCCAAGGUUCAAAUCCCGGCAUAUGCA